AAGCUUUAUCAGCAAAUUAUAAUACUUGGACACUGAAUACAAAUAGGGUAUUCAUAGCGCACCUUUAGCGUAAGCCGAAUUGAAUUUACUUUAAAAUUUUUUAAUACCAAUUAAAUUAAAAAGUAACUGCUGUCAGAGGCUUUAAGUUCGGCUAUAGCUUAAUAAAGACUCGUUUGUUGUUGUUUUAUUAAUUUGUAUGGUUUACACAAUUUAUAAUAGCGUGUUUGUAGUAUAAUAUGCCCAGUGGUGGAAUUAAUUAUGAGGAGAGAUCUGGGUGACCAUUUAAGUUCAAAAUUCGUUGAAAAUUUUAUGUGCUGUAUGUACCGUAUAAUAUGUAUUGUAUGUACAGUAAGUAGGUACUUAUUUUGUGUACUACUUGUGUACUACUGGCAUAUUUUGAGUUUAUGAGAAUACAAAUUUUGUUUCUGUGAACAGGAUGUCCUGUAAAACAGCUAUAAAAACAAAAUGAAUACCUAUCGCCUUAGAUUACACAAAAUAUUAAUUAUCGUAUAGGUAUCGUGUUGACUAUAAAGAACGUAUAAAACCUCGGCCGUUUUUUUGUUACAUGUUUUAUUUUCCGUAACUGACGCCGCUUCCACCGUUAGUAAAUCGGCCGGUGAUUCUUCUUUAAUCCUGUGUAUCGAUUUUAUAUUUUAAAAAUCAUUUAAUUUUUAAAAUUAAUAAUAAAAUCAAUAAUAAUAAAAAAAAAAACUGAUACAGCUCAUGAGUAAGCCAUUGUUGUAGUUGGGAAGUUGGAAAGGUAGAAUAUAUAUAAUAUAUAGGGUAAUUUAGUUUAAAUCCUAAAUGCAACGAUGAAACAUUGUAAACAAAAUACGACUCUGAGCG